rnacentral:tRNA from 1 species
GAGUAGCUCAGCUGGUUAGAGCACAGGAUUCAUAACCCUGAGGUCGGGAGUUCAAGUCUCCCCUC